rnacentral:rRNA from 1 species
UCUGGAAACGGAUGGUAAUACCUCAUAACAUACAUUGACCGCAUGAUUGAUGUAUCAAAGAUUUAUCACUCAGAGAUGGGCUCGCGUCUGAUUAGCUAGAUGGUGAGGUAACGGCUCACCAUGGCGACGAUCAGUAGCCGGACUGAGAGGUUGAACGGCCACAUUGGGACUGAGACACGGCCCAGACUCCUACGGGAGGCAGCAGUGGGGAAUAUUGCACAAUGGGGGAAACCCUGAUGCAGCGAUGCCGCGUGGAGGAAGAAGGUUUUCGGAUUGUAAACUCCUGUCUUAAAGG